AAAUAACAACAUGCUACCUCCCAAUCAAACCUCUAAUCAAAAUAAUACAAGAAGAAGCAACAACAAUAAUAAUAAUAAUUCUGGUGGAAGUGGUGGUGGCAACACACUCAUGAUCUCAUCUAGUGGUACUGUAAACUUUCCAAAUUCAACCAAUUCUGGCAAU
rnacentral:ribozyme from 1 species